rnacentral:rRNA from 1 species
UACGUAGGGUGCAAGCGUUGUCCGGAAUUAUUGGGCGUAAAGAGCUCGUAGGCGGUCUGUCGCGUCGGAUGUGAAAGCCCCGGGCUCAACCCGGGAAGUGCACUCGAUACUGCAGAGCUUGAGUGUCGGAGAGGUUGGUGGAAUUCUCGGUGUAGAGGUGAAAUUCGUAGAUAUCGAGAGGAACACCGGCGGCGAAGGCGGCCAACUGGACGAACACUGACGCUGAGACACGAAAGCGUGGGGAGCAAACAGG